UGAUUUGUUGGACUACGGCUCUCUUCAAUCUGCUAUUGCAGGCUGUAGCGGCGUCUUCCAUGUUGCAUGUCCGGUUCCACCAGCUUCAGUCCCAAAUCCUGAGGUGAGGAUUUCAUUCACUACUAUGAUCUCUCAUUAGCGCUAUUUAACAUUGUCUCACUCUGCUUUGACUGGUUUUGCAGGUAGAAUUGAUCGCACCUGCUGUGGAUGGCACGCUGAAUGUGCUUAAGGCAUGCGUGGAAGCGAAUGUUAAGCGUGUUGUGUAUGUUUCCUCUGUAGCUGCACUUUUCAUGAACCCUGUGUGGUCAAAGAAUCAAGUAUUAGAUGAGACAUGUUGGUCUGAUCAGGAAUAUUGCAAGAAAACUGAGGUUAAUGCAUCCUCAAUCACUCAUCUCACUUGUUAAAUCUUACAUAUAUAUAUUUUUUUUUUGCUGAUUUUUAAGUUCCUCUGGCAGAAUUGGUAUUGUCUAGCAAAGACACGAGCAGAGAGUGAAGCUUUUG
rnacentral:lncRNA from 1 species